rnacentral:rRNA from 1 species
CCUACGGGAGGCAGCAGUGGGGAAUCUUGCGCAAUGGGCGAAAGCCUGACGCAGCAACGCCGCGUGCGGGAAGAAGGCUUUCGGGCUGUAAACCGCUUUCAGCAGGAACGAAAAUGACGGUACCUGCAGAAGAAGGAGCGGCCAACUAUGUGCCAGCAGCCGCGGUGAUACAUAGGCUUCAAGCGUUGUCCGGAUUUAUUGGGCGUAAAGAGUUCGUAGGCGGUCGAGUAAGUCGGGUGUGAAAAUUCUGGGCUCAACCCAGAGACGCCACCCGAUACUGCUUGACUUGAGUUCGAUAGGGGAGUGGGGAAUUCCUAGUGUAGCGGUGAAAUGCGCAGAUAUUAGGAGGAACACCGGUGGCGAAGGCGCCACUCUGGAUCGAUACUGACGCUGAGGAACGAAAGCAUGGGUAGCAAACAGGAUUAGAUACCCUGGUAGUCCAUGCCGUAAACGGUGGGCACUAGGUGUGGGUUUCUAUUAACGAAAUCCGCGCCGUCGCUAACGCAUUAAGUGCCCCGCCUGGGGAGUACGGUCGCAAGCUAAAACUUAAGGAAUUGACGG